CUUGAUCGAGCCGAGCCACAACGGCCGGCCCUCCGGCCGCUCCUGGCCAUACGUGGCCAGCAGGGCCUGCGCCUC
rfam:Streptomyces sp. CMAA 1322 contig12, whole genome shotgun sequence.